GACGAACGCUGGCGGCGUGCUUAACACAUGCAAGUCGAACGGAAAGGCCCUGCUCUUGUGGGGUGCUCGAGUGGCGAACGGGUGAGUAACACGUGAGUAACCUGCCCUUGACUGUGGGAUAACUUCAGGAAACUGGGGCUAAUACCGGAUAGGAUCUCCUGCUGCAUGGUGGGGAUUGGAAAGUUUCGGCGGUGGGGGAUGGUCUCGCGGCUUAUCCGCUUGUUGGUGAGGUAGUGGCUGCCCAAGGCUUUGACGGGUAGCCGGCCUGAGAGGGUGACCGGCCACAUGAGGACUACGGUAGGGACCAGUCGCGAACGGGCGGCAACGGUGGAGAGUAUGACGGAGUGGGCGCACGUCAGAGAUGAAGGCCUCGCGUGCGGAAUACCGGGUUAUGGGUUAUAAACCGAUGUGGCAGGAGACAUAGAGGGCGUGACGGUAAUGGGUCAGGAAGCCCCGGCUAACUACGUG
rnacentral:rRNA from 1 species